GACGCUGGGUGGGGCGCGAAGUUGCGCCUCGAGUGAAGGCGCUCCUCGGGGGCUUCGGGUGGGGCCGGAGCAGCCUCUGGGCGGAGCCCCCGGGGUGGUGACCCGAAGGCACCGAAAAGGCUUUGGGUGGGGCAGAGGGAUGAGGAGCUGCUGGCUGGAGGCUGUGAGGGGCUCUGGCUGCUCCAGGCGGGCGGGGUUGAGUCUAGGGUCUGUCUGGGAUUGGGGUCUCCAGAGGCCAGCUCUGAAGGGUGGUCACACAUGUCUGGAUGGACGAGGCAGGGUCUCUUCUGUGCGGAUGGUAACGGAGCGUCCAAGGAGCGGAGGGCAGGCGGAGAGACUUCCGGCUGGAAGGAGUUUUCCUCUCCUCAGUCCUCCUUGUCUCUAGGUUUGAGCUUCUUGGAUGAUCGGGAGCUGUGCGAAGAUAACUUAACCCCAACCUCCCCGCUGUGCGAGUGACUACUUUUGCCUGGAGGGAAUGGCAUGAUUUUGCUACCCUUGCAUUGUUUUGUUUCCCCAGACGCAGAACUAUUUAUACAUCUGCCAGCGUUGUUAUAUCCCGUGAAAGUUUGUCUUUGGGGGCCACCUGUUGUUUCCACGUUGCAAUCUAUUUCUCUCUAGAGCUGCCAGAUGUGGGCAUGGCAAAGGGUUGUAGCAGUUCAACUAGAUGUAGUGAAGGAAGACUUUGCUUUCUGCUACCAUGGUGUGAAAAUCAAUAAAGGUGAAGUGUGCUGUCAAGUCGAUUUCGACUCCUGGCGCCCACAGAGCCCUGUGGUUUUCUUUGGUAGAAUACAGGAGGGGUUUACCAUGGCUUCCCGGCAUAGUAUGAGAUGAUGAUGCCUUUCAGCAUCUUCCUCUCGCUGCUGCCGAAUAUAGUACCAGUGGGGAUUCAAACCAGCAACCUUCUGCCUGUUAGUCACGCAUUUCCCUGCUGUGCCAUUUAAGGUGAAUAUGAAAUCAAUACCUACCAGUAUAUGCUUCCUUUUGUGCAGCAACUCUGUACACAGGACACCUGUGCUCUAUAGAAUCUGAUAGGUCCGCCAUUGCUUUUGCACCAGACCUUCAUGGUUCACUGAUGAGUGCUGACCUGAUACUUGAGAGCUCUGCCUAAUAUUAAUAGCUUAAGUGAGAAGCAGUUAUGACUCUUGUUCUUGUCUUGAGUCAAACCUAUAAAAGUCCAGAAGGCGUAGGCUGGGAUCCAAAGAGCUGGUUAUGCUCACGCAAGGGGCUUGCGCAACAUCAGUAGGAUUUCUUCCUUUAAAACAAAAAAAGACAGAAAUCAGCUCCUUGUGGUAUAUCAUAAACUACUUUUAAAGGCUGUGUCAGUUUCAUAACAAGUCUAGCAUUCCUGUCAGGGAUGUAGCAAAGUUGGAAAGAGCCCUGGGACAAAAAGUGAAGAUGGACCCCUUCUUCUUCUUCAGAGACACAUGAGGGGGAUAGUAAAGAACAAACUGUCAUCCAGCCAAUUGGGGAGGGGGAACUCCCUCGAGGGCCCAAGAACAUUUGACUCCUCUCACCUGUUCAUUUGUAGCCAUGUCCCUGAUUCCAGUGGGCUCACAGAACUAGACUAAUUGUCUCUUGGAACCUGACCAUGAUGUGCACACAUCUAGUAGUAUUCACCUUUCAUUUUUCAAAAAUUAUUCUGUUGAGCAUUAUGACUUCUUUUCAUGGAUCUUUCUCUCUCCCUCCUCCUCUCUACCCCAGCCAGGUGUAUCGGAGCAUUCCUCCUUGAGUGUCAUUCAGUUAGCAAGUAAGGUAGCAACUGGGAGAUCUAGAAAAUAAUAUGUUGAGGAGACGCCUAGGUUUUAAAAGGAUGGAAUACACCAGGCAGAGUGCUAUGAUCCUUAUCACUAAUAAAAGUUACUGCUCUCCUCAGCAGUGGUCAUGGUGUGACCAGUCUUCGCCGGGCAACAGUCAUCAGCAGCAUAAGACCACUUCCCACUGAAUAGUAUUUCAGAGUUGUAUCCUACAUUACUAUUAGCGACUGUGGGAUGCGCACCUGUCCUGAGAGAUGAGGUGGUGUAGUCUAGGAAAAAUAAAUGUUGCCCUGUAUUUCCAAGAAAAAUGUGUUACCCUUCAAGCCAGUUUGAUCCAGUGGUCUGGUUUGAAUUUGACUCCAGAUCUCCUAGAUCCAAGUUGCACUUUUGCAGUUGACUCAUUGUGUGGCCUUGAAUGCAUUGCUUUCCCUCAACAGCAGUUUCCUAUCUGUAAAACGGGAAUAAUAGAGAGCUGCCUCAAGGAUUGUUGUGAAAAUGAAACACAGAUGGUACCAAACUGCCACUGCUGUAUGAGCCUGUAUGAGUAACCUUGUGUGUCACCUGCUUUAUUAUUUAUUUAUUUAUUUAACAUAUUUAUAGGCCGCCCACUACCGAAGUCUCUAGACGGUUUUAUAGCAAUAAAACAAACCAAGAAAUUUUAACAGUUAAAACACAUAAAUAGAUCAAAUUCAAAUACCUAUUAAAAAUUACCAGAUAUCUAAAAAGUUUGGCUGAAGAGAUGUGUCUUUAGGUGUUUUCUAAUGGUUUUGUAAUGGCAUGCAUACAGGGGCAUAUCUAGGGCAGGUGCCACUUGAAAGGGGGGCGCCAUUUUUUAAAAUUAUAAAAAUUUUAAAAUGGCUACCGAAAAUAAAAUGGCCACUGCGCAUGCUCAAAUGGCCUCUGUGAGGCUCUAGGCUACAGGUAAUUUUUUAAAAAUUUAAUAUAAGUCACUGUACACAUAGUCAGUUUGGCACUAUGUACAGAGAAUCGGGGCUUGUGAAUACUGAGCUGAAGCUUAUGAGCUAGGAUUGUGUUCAUUUGCUCUUACUUUGCUUCUUGUGGUAAGUUUUUAGAUUGUGAGCCCUUUGGGGACAGGGAGCCAUCUUAUUUAUCUUAUUUAUUUAUUAUUUCUCUGUGUAAACCGCCCUGAGCCAUUUUUGGAAGGGCGGUAUAGAAAUUGAAUGAAUGAAAUGAGUUAAAUGUGAUGUCUUAAUAAUAUGGCUAUUAAUGGUGAGUUUGUCUCUGAAUCAGUGUGAAAUCCUUAGUAUUAAGGCCCACUGGGAGUUUCUUGCUCUCUUUCUCAUUUUAACGGUCUUUCUGAAAUACUAGAAUAUAUUCCAAGCAGUGACACAGUUUACUCUGCAUAUCCUUUCAUUAUUUUCAGAGUAUCUGGGAAAAGUCAUAUUCUCCAUUUAUUUUUAAAACUUAUGUAAAAGUGAUGCUACAAUGCAUAGUAGAGAAUUAGACAGGCACUUCUGUUUUGUUUUCCAAGUACAGCUCCACAUAGUAUUUGGGUAUUUCAUGAGCCCCAGCAUACUGAAAUUUGUAGUUUUCCAGCAUUUUUUGGUCUGGCUAUGUCCACUGCUAAAUAGUUUUUGAAAUAUUAAAAGAUUAACGAGCUUGA